GACGAACGCUGGCGGCGUGCUUAACACAUGCAAGUCGAACGGAAAGGCCCCUUCGGGGGUACUCGAGUGGCGAACAGGUGCGUAACACGUGAGUAACCUGCCCUUGACUUCGGGAUAACUUCAGGAAACUGGGGCUAAUACCGGAUAGGAAUCCUUGCUGCAUGGUGGGGGUUGGAAAGCUUCGGCGGUUUUGGAUGGACUCGCGGCUUAUCAGCUUGUUGGUGGGGUAGUGGCUUACCAAGGCUUUGACGGGUAGCCGGCCUGAGAGGGCGACCGGCCACAUUGGGACUGAGAUACGGCCCAGACUCCUACGGGAGGCAGCAGUGGGGAAUAUUGCACAAUGGGCGGAAGCCUGAUGCAGCAACGCCGCGGGCGGGAGGACGGCCUUCGGGUUGUAAACCGCUUUCAGCAGGGGCGAAGCUUGUGGUGACGGUACCUGCAGAAGAAGCACCGGCUAACUACGUG
rnacentral:rRNA from 1 species